GCCAGCCCGCUCAGAAACUUAAAGGAAGUUGACGGGGGCCCGCGACAAGCGGUGGAGCAUGUGGUUUAAUUCGAUGAUACGCGAGGAACCUUACCUGGGUCUCGAACGUAAGAUGACUGUAGGUGAAAGCUUACAUCUCUUCGGAGCAUUUUACGAGGUGCUGCAUGGUUGUCGUCAGCUCGUGCCGUGAGGUGUCGGGUUAAGUCCCAUAACGAGCGCAACCCCUACCUUUAGUUGCCAUCAGGUUAAGCUGGGGACUCUAAAGGAACUGCCUACGCAAGUAGUGAGGAAGGCGGGGAUGACGUCAAAUCAGCACGGCCCUUACGUCCAGGGCUACACACGUGCUACAAUGGCCGAUACAGAGGGCAGCUACCUGGUGACAGGAUGCAAAUCUCCAAAGUCGGUCUCAGUUCGGAUCGGAGUCUGCAACCCGACUCCGUGAAGUUGAAUUCGCUAGUAAUCGCGCAUCAGCCAUGGCGCGGUGAAUACGUUCCCGGGCCUU
rnacentral:rRNA from 1 species